UGCAUUCACUACUAUAAGUCGCUCUGGAUAAGAGCAUCUGCUAAAUGACUUAAA
rfam:Salmo salar isolate Sally breed double haploid chromosome ssa20, whole genome shotgun sequence.